GACGAACGCUGGCGGCGUGCUUAACACAUGCAAGUCGAACGAUGAAGCGCUGUCUUUUUGGUGGUGUGGAUUAGUGGCGAACGGGUGAGUAAUACGCGGGCAACCUGCCCCUCUGCUUCGGGAUAAGCUUUGGAAACGGGGUCUAAUACCGGAUGUGCCUGUCUGGUCGCAUGGCUGGGCGGGGAAAGAUGUUUUACGGCGGGGGAUGGGCUCGCGCCUUAUCGCCUUGUAGGUGCGGUCAACGCUCACCCCCUACGUAUUACCGCGGCUGCUGGCACGUAUUUAGCCGGCGCUUCUUUGAAGCGUACCCUCAACCCCGCCAACGGAGCCUUGUCCCGCGUCGAAAGGGGUUUACCACCCCAAAGCCUCCUCCCCCUCUCUUGUCGCUGCAUCAGGCUUGCGCCCCAUGUGCAAUAUCCCUACUGCAGCCUUCCCGUUGAGUCUGGGGCCGUAUCUUUUUUUCUAGUGGGGCCGAACACCCCUCCUAGUCCCGGAAACCGUCUACGUCUUGGGAGGCCGGUUCCCCCCCAUAAGGCGAUAGGCCGUAGGUCCAUUCCCCCGCCGAAUAUAUCGUUACCUUCCGGGUUAUUAAUC
rnacentral:rRNA from 1 species